UUAAACGGCGCUUGAGAUCGUAUUCUCUAGCGCCGGAGAUUUGGCGAGGUAUAGCGAAGGCCGAGAUAUCGUUUCAGUCGUCAUUUGUGAGUUGGCGAUUCGAUUGUUGCUCGUCCACAU